rnacentral:lncRNA from 1 species
CCUCUAAAUAGUCUUGAUAUACCUUCUUUAUUCCACUUUUGAGAGUAAAAUCUUAACAUCUUUCUUUUUUUUGGUACCAAGACUCAAACUCAUGACCUCAGGUUUGCCAGGCAAAUGCUUAUGCUGCUGAGCUGGAUCCCCAGACUUUAACAUCUUUCUUUCAUAACAUGAAAAAUGGUCUAGAUGUGAAGAGGGAGAGGAGGAACAUGGAUAAAAGACUGCUUGAGAAGCUUUUUAUUUUUUAUAAUGUAAAUCUUCCAUUAAUCCACUGAUUAUAUCCUUUUUCUGCAACUCUCAUGUCCUUCAAGUUCCAAGAAAUGGUAACAGUGCUACCCUGUUUCUGCUCAUCUCAGCUGCUCCUUAACAUUUACCUAGAAAUCUAAAGAGAAACAGGCUUCCCUUCAGUCCCAUCUAUAACAGGCCCAGAGUGACAUAACAACUUGUCAGAAUUAUGACUCUGACACACUGCAGAAUCUUCUAAAAAAAUGUAGAAGACUGAAGACAUUGGGGAUGGAUGGGUAAGAAUGUAAAAAGAAGAGAUGGUCGACUUUAAGGAGAUGGGGAAAAAUGAAGAUCUAAACCAAAUACAAGAGCUUAACAAUCCUUUGGCAAAACCAGAAGUCUACCGCCAUAAGAACAUAAAUCCAGGAUAUAAUAAAAACAUGGUAA